rfam:Triticum aestivum genome assembly, contig: Triticum_aestivum_CS42_TGACv1_scaffold_129283_2BL
GCUCAGUUGGUAAAGCACAAGGCUCUUAACCUUGUGGACGUGGAUUCAAGCCCCGU